rnacentral:rRNA from 1 species
GCAUGGAUCUGCGGGAAAAGGAUUUAUUCGCUCUAGGAUGGACUCGCGUCCAAUUAGCUAGUUGGUGAGGUAACGGCCCACCAAGGCGACGAUUGGUAGCCGGACUGAGAGGUUGAACGGCCACAUUGGGACUGAGACACGGCCCAGACUCCUACGGGAGGCAGCAGUGGGGGAUAUUGCACAAUGGGGGAAACCCUGAUGCAGCGACGCCGCGUGGAGGAAGAAGGUUUUCGGAUUGUAAACUCCUGUCGUUAGGGACGAUAAUGACGGUACCUAACAAGAAAGCACCGGCUAACUACGUGCCAGCAGCCGCGGUAAAACGUAGGGUGCAAGCGUUGUCCGGAAUUACUGGGUGUAAAGGGAGCGCAGGCGGACCGGCAAGUUGGAAGUGAAAACUAUGGGCUCAACCCAUAAAUUGCUUUCAAAACUGCUGGCCUUGAGCAGUGCAGAGGUAGGUGGAAUUCCCGGUGUAGCGGUGGAAUGCGUAGAUAUCGGGAGGAACACCAGUGGCGAAGGCGACCUACUGGGCACCAACUGACGCUGAGGCUCGAAAGCAUGGGUAGCAAACAGGAUUAGAUACCCUGGUAGUCCAUGCCGUAAACGAUGAUUACUAGGUGUUGGAGGAUUGACCCCUUCAGUG